rnacentral:piRNA from 1 species
AAAAAAAAAAAAAAAAAAAAAAAAAAAAAAAAAU